GACGAACGCUGGCGGCGUGCUUAACACAUGCAAGUCGAACGGAAAGGCCCUGCUUGCAGGGUACUCGAGUGGCGAACGGGUGAGUAACACGUGGGUGAUCUGCCCUGCACUUCGGGAUAAGCCUGGGAAACUGGGUCUAAUACCGGAUAGGAGCCAUUUUUAGUGUGAUGGUUGGAAAGUUUUUUCGGUGUAGGAUGAGCUCGCGGCCUAUCAGCUUGUUGGUGGGGUAAUGGCCUACCAAGGCGGCGACGGGUAGCCGGCCUGAGAGGGUGGACGGCCACAUUGGGACUGAGAGACGGCCCAGACUCCUACGGGAGGCAGCAGUGGGGAAGAUUGCACAAGGGGCGCAAGCCGGAUGCAGCGACGCCGCGUGGGGGAUGACGGCCUUCGGGUUGUAAAAUCCUUUCGCUAGGGACGAAGCUUUUUGUGACGGUACCUAGAUAAGAAGCACCGGCUAACUACGUG
rnacentral:rRNA from 1 species